rnacentral:lncRNA from 1 species
CAUGGAUCUCACGGACUGUGUUUUGCAUAAGGUUAGUACGUACUCUCUUCUCUAAUCUCAUGGGGCUUUCUUCUGAUAAAAACUAUUUAAUAAAGGCAAAAUCACGUGAAUGAAAUUUGUAUAUUACGCACGGAUACAUAACUAACGUAGUCUUCAAGUGGGUCUUCAAGGCGAGCGCUUUCUUGCGCCAUGGCGCAAGGCGCAAGGCACACACCUUAUCGCCUUGGAUCGCCAUGCGCCAUUUAAAACACAGAAGAAGAAGGAGAACAAGAACAAGAAGACGGUGGAAGAAAGAAGAAGAAGAAGGUGGUGACCAAGUGAAGAAAUGAAACCCUCUUUGUUAUAAAACAAUGUUAUGAACUUGUGAACUGAUGUAUUUUCACUUUUCAAUGCUGUGUGAACUUGUGUUUUUUUUAUCACUUUGAACUUAUCUUUUGAAUUUAUCUUGUGUUUUUUUAUAACUUUGAAACAUGA